CACGCCGUAAACGAUGAGUGCCAGACGUUGGGGGGCUUGCCUCUCGGUGUCGCAGUUAACGCAUUAAGCACUCCGCCUGGGGAGUACGGCCGCAAGGUUAAAACUCAAAGGAAUUGACGGGGGCCCGCACAAGCGGUGGAGCAUGUGGUUUAAUUCGAUGCAACGCGAAGAACCUUACCAGCUCUUGACAUACUAGGUUUCGGGUUUGAGAGAUCAGACCUUUCAGUUCGGCUGGGCCUAGUACAGGUGCUGCAUGGCUGUCGUCGGGUCGUGUCGUGAGUUGUUUGGU
rnacentral:rRNA from 1 species